CGGGACGUGGCGUAGCUCGGUAGCGCACCUGACUGGGGGUCAGGGGGUCGCUGGUUCAAAUCCAGUCGUUCCGA
rnacentral:tRNA from 1 species